CCCGUUGUCCCUCCGGCCCUCGGCGCCCGGCGCGCGUCCCAGCCCGACCGGGGCUGCGCGCCGGGCCGCGUCUCCCGGCUGCGCCGCGCAGUUCGCCCCGGGGGCCGCCCGCAGGCUUCUCGCGGAGCCUUCGCGCCGCUCCCGGCCCCCGGGUCCCCGCCCUCCCCGUUCCCGCCGCCUCCCCGGCCUGUAAAGGAGUGUCGGGAGCGCUGUAGGCUUUCGCGGGCCACUUGGACACCGAAUCCUAAAAGCCGACCUCCGGUUGGAAGCCCGGCCAGAAUCCCACGAAAGGCGUGGGCUCGGCCUGUUAGGAUAGGGGAAAUCGGUGGAACCAGGACCCGGAGCCGGCGUAGAGCUGGUUGCCUUCCAGCCAAGUAAGAUGGAUCUCCUGGAGCGCUGGGCUCCAGCCUGUAGAACGCUGCCUUCCCCCGGCCGAAUGUAAACAUCCAGCCCUUCCGCCGGGGCUGCCUGGGCCUUUUCUCAUGCCGCUAUCCUGAACGCCCCCCGGGGGUUGGGAGGGUGCUCUCGAGGGGCGUGAUGCUGGGUACCGAUCCAGCAGUCACUUUUUAGGCGCCUACUGUGUGCCAGGGAGUACUGCCUCUCCCUGACUCGGUGCAACACGGGCGAGGAGGUCCAUUUCACCGAUGAGGCAACUGAGGCACUGGGAAAGCUAGCCACGGUUCAUGCAUCGGGACCACAAUUAAUUGUACUCCCAGAAAGCUGAGGCUGUAGCCCGCUUCUGUUUUCCAAACUAGUUGGAAGCACAGCUGGAAGAGCAGGAGUAAACGGAAUGGAGUGGGAGGGAAAGGAGGAUUUAUGAACUCGCCCCCGGGGCAGGGGGUGGCUAUUGACAAGAAUCUACAGGAGUUCCACGAUUGAAGUAAGUGUAGAUUUUUUUUUUAAGCGAAUCAUGGUGUUAUGGGAAGCGUGCAGGACUUGUCAUCAGGACACCACCACUCUGCCACUUGCCGGGGGUGCCGCCUAACUGCCUCUCUGGCCUCAGUUUCCUCAUCAGUUGAGUGAGUGGCUUGAACUAGAUGCUCUCUAAGGCCCCUUCCUGUAUUAAGAACUCGGAUUUGGUCCAGGAGCUGUUCUGCCAACUCUGCUAACUGAAGAAACAUCUGUGUUCCCUGUUCCCCUUAAAAUAGAACUCCUGCACGGAAGCUCAAGUCCCUUUGAAAUGGAGUUGUCCAUGCAGAGUGUGCAAACCAGAGACUUCUUGGGCUGGAGUCCAAUGACCCUGUGUUCAUGGCUCUGUAGCAGGAUCCUUACUGAGGUCCAUCUGUCCUUGGCUUGACUGUCCAUAGUAAAUCCUGAGAGUCAAAGAAAGAAAGGACUCUUGGAGUUUAAAUAUAAGAAUGGCCCCCUUUAGAUAUGCAGAGACAGCUGAAGGUCAAAUUGUGCUCUGCGGAAGGGAAGAAAGGUGACUGUAGUUCAGGUGGCAAAUCCCAUUCCCACCUCCUCGUAUCAAUUCAGCAUUAAGAUGUUAUGUAAAGGAAUUGUCACUGGGGGGCCUACCUUCCUGAAGGCCACUGGCUUCUGCACAGUGCAGGGAUGAGUACUUAAAAGUCCCCUUGCCAAGCUAUUGAAUGUUUAAGAGACCUUCCCUGGUCCUGGGGGAGUACCAGGAACACAAACACAUUGAAGCUGUUUGCUGUAAACUUGUCUGGGGCUUCCCAGUGUUCACUGAUGUGUUUUGUUCCCUGGUGGUAGGGUGAAUUCUUUCUAGACUGUCUGUUCCCUGUACCCUCCUACCUCCUACUUGGUGAUUAGGAAAGCAGAGCUAGAACACACUUGACAGCCUUCGGACAGUUUUAUUGUACUCCCCUCCUCUUUCCACUCUUCUGAUUUCAGAAGGCAGUCCCACGAGAUGGUGUAUCUUAUCAAAGGAAAAAGUGUGAAGGAAUUUGCAAAAAGACACACCUAUCAGCUACAGUUUAGCGGGGGACACAGAAAUCCCAAGAUACUGUUGUACAUUGAAGGUGUUAAGUCAGGUGUAUGUUUGCACAUUACAGCUCUUCAUCUGCCCCAACUCUCCCUGUGUCCCCUUCAAAGCUAAUAUUCUAUACCUAGCUGUUUGUUAAGUUUACUCACUAUUGCCCUCUUUGAGCAAAUGAUUUUUGUUUACUGAAAAAAAAAAAAGUUAAUAAGAUACCAGGACGUUGUAUUUUACCAUAAGGAGCACAUAGCUAUCCGCUUUAAGGUAUGUGCCUUGCCAUUAACAUAAUGUCAACCAAGUCAUUUUCAAUGUGUCUCCCCUAUGCAUAGGCCAAAUUACAAUCUCACUAAUUUAAUGCCUCUCGACCAUCCUUAAUAGGAAACACUGUAAGGUAAACAUUUACUUGAGAAAUUUAUGCAGGAGAACUCUAUUUGGCUUCUAAAAGAAAAUUAUUAACACAACAUGUGAUUUUAAUAUUCCACACAUCACAGUCCUAAAAAAUUGUUUCUACUUGGUUCACUUUCUGCCUGGGACUGUCAGUAUGAUUUAAUUUUUAUAUAGUGUAUUGAUCAUAUGGUCUGGAUUACAAGGCCCUAAUAUAUGAAAAAGGGAGACAUUUUCCUGUUUAUUCUCUCACAGGAAUAUAUACCAAGCUUCCUCGCCUUGUGUCUGGAAACGAUAAAAGCUGAUGUGCAAUAUACGUGCUGUGUAAGUGGAGAUAUGCAAGCGGUUCCACUUGUUUCACAUACCUUUUGGGAUGUUAAAUUCUUGGUGAAAAAACAGGCGUCCACUCUCCUUUGAGGACCAAAGGAAUCUGGUGUCAGAGAAUCACCAAUGGAGCUUUAUGUCUCAGAAAAUAGCAUCUUUGCCGAUUAUUGCUUUUAUAAACACAGUUAUGAAUCUUUGCAUAGUAGUUUUUCUGAAAUGGAUUUUGUUUUCCUUUCAGUUGCAUAAAAGUAUGGCCUGUUCUUUUAUGCACUCCUGCUCUACCAGGUUACAAGAGAGCAGCAGACAAUAUCCCCAGGCAAGGAGGAAUGAGCAUCUACUGUCUUUCUAAGCCCUGUUGGCCUCUUUUUCAGAUGAAUGAGCUGUUUUCCUUUUCACUUCAACUCUGAUGAAGAGAUUAUCUCCAUUUUAUAGAUGAGAAAACUGAGGUACACACUGAAGUCAGUUUGAGUUGAUCUCUAAUCCUCAGUGAGCAUGACUGGAGUCCAUCCCCCUUUUCUUCCCUCAUCUGAAGAACCCUGGAACUCAGAUCAUUAGAAAAUUCCAAAGCUCGGUUUGCAGAAAGUCCUGCCUCUCCACAUUUUCCAGUUAGUCAUUUGCACCAAAGCAGAUGGAUAAAGGUGGUUCAACUCUUCUGGUCAGUGAUACGGUCUCGUCUCCCCAAGGUAUCGUUUUGAUUUGGGGUCGUUCUAACACUAAGUAAUUCCCAAAUUUUGAGGACGCCUUUGUACCCCGUGAGACAGUGGUUCCAAAGAAAGCACAAAUGGCAGUGCACGGCUGUAGCACAAAUGCAGAGAUUUGGUAAAUCCAUGUGGAGCUUCUCUGCUCUGUCCCCUGUCUCUUCCUUGUCCCCCUCCCCAGAUAUCUACUGAGUGCCUCCUUCCAACCCAUGCAGAGUCAGCCCUGCUGACUCUUCCAGGAUGGUUGAAAACCUUUAUUGUCUGGAUUGGCUAGUUUCUUUUGUUUUUUGGUUUUUUUUCUCCUUAGCUCUUCCAUCCCUUUCUCUUAUACUUGAGAUAUACCAUAGGGUUAUAGCUGCCUUUGUGGGAGACUGUUAAAGCCAGAGUUGGUGGCCUUUUCCACUUUUAGCCCUUUUGACUUACUGUCAAUUUGAGAUUCUUUCUUUUCCCCUUCCUGUGCAGUUGUUUGGGCUGGCAAGCCCUGUUCAUAGCAUGAUGCUAAUGAUACCAUAGUUGAGGGCUUCUUCCCCGUGUAGGCAGUCAUGUUUAUGGAGACACCCUGCCCUAGGUGUCAUGUCAACCUGGUACACAUUAUUUGAGGAGUGAUAAUUUGGGGGAUGCCUCCUGUGUCAGUACUUCACCGACUCAGCUAAUAAGGAGACCCAUCUGGUGUGACAUGCAGAUUUCUCAGGCUCCUUCCCAGGAGAUUCAAAUUCACUAGGCUCUGGACCAGGGCCUAGGAUUCUGUGUUUUAUAAAAGCUUCUGGUGAUUCUUAUCAGGCCAAUCUGAGAAUCACUGUGUUGUUUAAUAGCUAAUGUCCUAAAGGGCAGUUGGUUUAUGUAGAGGGAUCGCAUGUUCUGGCACGUUUUGAAUUGUUAGGUUGUCCGUACUUUUCUUUCUGUUUGUGGCCAGUACACCUGUCUUUUCCAAUAAAGAUAUUCAAGAUACCUAGAGAUUAUCAUACUAAGUGAAGUCAGACAGAGAAAGACAAAUAUCAUAUCAAAUAUCAAAGACAGAUAUCACAUAUCUCUCAUAGGUGAAGUCUAAUUUUAAAAAAUGAUAUCAAUGAACUUAUUUACAAAACAGAAACAGGCUUGCCGCUAUGGAAAAAAAACUUAUGGUUACCAAAGGGGAAACGUGGAGGGGAGGGAUAAAUCAGGAGCUUGGGAUAACCGUACACACACUACUGUAUAUAAGAUAGAUAAGCAACAAGGACAUACUGUAUAGCAUAGGGAACUCAACUCAAUAUUCUGUGAUAACCUAUAUGAGAAAAGAAUAUAAAAAAGAAUGAAUAUAGGUAUAUGUGUAACCGAAUCACUUUACACCUGAAACUAACACAACAUUGUAAAUCAACUGUACUCCAAUUAAAAAAAAAUAUUUCAGAUUGUUAGAAUCCUUUCCAAAGGAAAAAUUACCUCUGGGUGCUGGCCUGAAGGUCUGAUUUUUAGUGCAAGGACUUGCUGGUGUCUCCUAACUGCUAAGAGACUGGGAUUUUUAUUUAUUUGUAAACUGAGUUCUCUGUAGUGUUGUAGGCCAAGCGACCACUUUGGAUAAAUGAAGUGUUAACUCUAUAAAUAUUUUCUUUUGAGAAAUUGAAGUUUGUAUAUGAGUAAACCGUGAAAUGAAUGAAUGCCGCUUCUAAAGAGAGCCUUUAAAAGAUCAAAGUUAGCUUGGCAAAGUAUUGUAGCAACAACACAAGCUUCGGAUUCACCCAGGUCUGGGUUUGAAUCCUGACAUAAAGUCAUCUACACAUGUGACAUGGGCAAAAAUUAUUUAACCUUUCAGGCCUCAGUUUCCUCAUCUGUAAAAUACAAAAGCAAACCUGUGACCCUCGUAUAUGGUGAGGCUCAGAUGAAAUCACAAAUCUGAAAGCA